rnacentral:misc_RNA from 1 species
AACGCAUAUUGCGCCCUCUGGUAUUCUGGAGGGCAUGUCUGUCCGAGCGUCAUUACUACUCUCAAGCGUGGCUUGUGUGUUGGGUCUUGUCUUCUGUGGACUGACCUGAAAAGCAGUGGUGUUGCCAUGUCUGGUGCUUGAGCGUAUGGGGCUUUAUCACUCGCUCCGCGUGGCCAUGGUAGCUCUUUGCUAAAUAUUAAAAAAGUGAUCUCUAAGUUGACCUCGGAUCAGGUAGGGAUACCCGCUGAACUUAA